rnacentral:rRNA from 1 species
AUUGAACGCUGGCGGCAGGCCUAACACAUGCAAGUCGAGCGGAUGAAGGGAGCUUGCUCCUGGAUUCAGCGGCGGACGGGUGAGUAAUGCCUAGGAAUCUGCCUGGUAGUGGGGGAUAACGUCCGGAAACGGGCGCUAAUACCGCAUACGUCCUGAGGGAGAAAGUGGGGGAUCUUCGGACCUCACGCUAUCAGAUGAGCCUAGGUCGGAUUAGCUAGUUGGUGGGGUAAAGGCCUACCAAGGCGACGAUCCGUAACUGGUCUGAGAGGAUGAUCAGUCACACUGGAACUGAGACUCGGUCCCGACUCCUACGGGAGGCAGCAGUGGGGAAUAUUGGACAAUGGGCGAAAGCCUGAUCCAGCCAUGCCGCGUGUGUGAAGAAGGUCUUCGGAUUGUAAAGCACUUUAAGUUGGGAGGAAGGGCAGUAAGUUAAUACCUUGCUGUUUUGACGUUACCAACAGAAUAAGCACCGGCUAACUUCGUG